GCCUGCAUGAAGUCGGAAUUGCUAGUAAUCGCGGAUCAGCAUGCCGCGGUGAAUACGUUCCCGGGCCUUGUACACACCGCCCGUCACACCAUGGGAGCCGGUAAUACCCGAAGUCGGUAGUCUAACCGCAAGGAGGACGCCGCCGAAGGUGGGGUUGAUGAUUAGGGUUAAGUCGUAACAAGGUAUC
rnacentral:rRNA from 1 species